rnacentral:misc_RNA from 1 species
AACGCACCUUGCGCCCUUUGGUAUUCCGAAGGGCAUGCCUGUUUGAGUAUCAUUAACAUCUCACUCUUGAAUCUCUUGUGGAAUCAAGACGUGGACUUUGGAGGUUUAUGCAGGCCACCCACUGGUCAGCUCCUCUUAAAUAGAUUAGCGGAACUCUAUGCAGUACCCAGCCUCGGUUUGAUAAUCCUAUCUAUGCUGUCGCUGUUGGACUGUGCUGUUUGGCUUACAACUGUCCUUUUGGACUGUCACUUUUGUGGCAUAAAUUUUAAGCUUGAUCUCAAAUCAGGUAGGACUACCCGCUGAACUUAA